rnacentral:rRNA from 1 species
GGGUUGUGAGGUUAAGCGACUAAGCGUACACGGUGGAUGCCCUGGCAGUCAGAGGCGAUGAAGGACGUGCUAAUCUGCGAUAAGCGUCGGUAAGGUGAUAUGAACCGUUAUAACCGGCGAUUUCCGAAUGGGGAAACCCAGUGUGAUUCGUCACACUAUCAUUAACUGAAUCCAUAGGUUAAUGAGGCGAACCGGGGGAACUGAAACAUCUAAGUACCCCGAGGAAAAGAAAUCAACCGAGAUUCCCCCAGUAGCGGCGAGCGAACGGGGAGGAGCCCAGAGCCUGAAUCAGUGUGUGUGUUAGUGGAAGCGUCUGGAAAGGCGCGCGAUACAGGGUGACAGCCCCGUACACAAAAAUGCACAUGCUGUGAGCUCGAUGAGUAGGGCGGGACACGUGGUAUCCUGUCUGAAGAUGGGGGGACCAUCCUCCAAGGCUAAAUACUCCUGACUGACCGAUAGUGAACCAGUACCGUGAGGGAAAGGCGAAAAGAACCCCGGCGAGGGGAGUGAAAAAGAACCUGAAACCGUGUACGUACAAGCAGUGGGAGCCUCUUAAUGGGGUGACUGCGUACCUUUUGUAUAAUGGGUCAGCGACUUAUAUUCUGUAGCAAGGUUAACCGAAUAGGGGAGCCGAAGGGAAACCGAGUCUUAACUGGGCGUUAAGUUGCAGGGUAUAGACCCGAAACCCGGUGAUCUAGCCAUGGGCAGGUUGAAGGUUGGGUAACACUAACUGGAGGACCGAACCGACUAAUGUUGAAAAAUUAGCGGAUGACUUGUGGCUGGGGGUGAAAGGCCAAUCAAACCGGGAGAUAGCUGGUUCUCCCCGAAAUCUAUUUAGGUAGAGCCUUGAGCGGACACCUUCGGGGGUAGAGCACUGUUUCGGCUAGGGGUCCAUCCCGGAUUACCAACCCGAUGCAAACUGCGAAUACCGAAGAGUGAUACUCAGGAGACACACGGUGGGUGCUAACGUCCAUCGUGGAGAGGGAAACAACCCAGACCGCCAGCUAAGGUCCCAAAGUCUAUAUUAAGUGGGAAACGAGGUGGGAAGGCUUAGACAGCUAGGAUGUUGGCUUAGAAGCAGCCACCAUUUAAAGAAAGCGUAAUAGCUCACUAGUCGAGUCGGCCUGCGCGGAAGAUGUAACGGGGCUCAAAUAUAGCACCGAAGCUGCGGCAUCAGUAGAGAUACUGUUGGGUAGGGGAGCGUUCUGUAAGCGGAUGAAGGUGAAUCGAGAGGUUUGCUGGACGUAUCAGAAGUGCGAAUGCUGACAUAAGUAACGAUAAAGCGGGUGAAAAGCCCGCUCGCCGGAAGACCAAGGGUUCCUGUCCAACGUUAAUCGGGGCAGGGUGAGUCGACCCCUAAGGCGAGGCCGAAAGGCGUAGUCGAUGGGAAACAGGUUAAUAUUCCUGUACUUGGUGUUACUGCGAAGGGGGGACGGAGAAGGCUAUGUUGGCCGGGCGACGGUUGUCCCGGUUUAAGCGUGUAGGCUGGUUUUCCAGGCAAAUCCGGAAAAUCAAGGCUGAGGCGUGAUGACGAGGCACUACGGUGCUGAAGCAACAAAUGCCCUGCUUCCAGGAAAAGCCUCUAAGCAUCAGGUAACAUCAAAUCGUACCCCAAAC